CGUAGGCGGACCUGCAAGUCGGGGGUGAAAGCCCAAGGCUCAACCUCGGAACUGCCUUCGAUACUGCGGGUCUCGAGUCCGGGAGAGGUGAGUGGAAUUCCUAGUGUAGAGGUGAAAUUCGUAGAUAUUAGGAAGAACACCAGUGGCGAAGGCGGCUCACUGGCCCGGUACUGACGCUGAGGCGCGAAAGCGUGGGGAGCAAACA
rnacentral:rRNA from 1 species